AGCGUAGGCGGCGUGGUAAGUCAGAUGUGAAAUCCCGGGGCUCAACCCCGGAACUGCAUCCGAUACUGCCGUGCUUGAGGGUUGGAGAGGUAGCUGGAAUUAUCGGUGUAGCAGUGAAAUGCGUGGAUAUCGAUAGGAACACUCGUGGCGAAGGCGAGCUACUGGACAACAUCUGACGCUGAGGCUCGAAGGCCAGGGGAGCAAAAG
rnacentral:rRNA from 1 species